rnacentral:rRNA from 1 species
GACGAACGCUGGCGGCGUGCUUAACACAUGCAAGUCGAACGAAGAGCGAUGGAAGCUUGCUUCUAUCAAUCUUAGUGGCGAACGGGUGAGUAACGCGUAAUCAACCUGCCCUUCAGAGGGGGACAACAGUUGGAAACGACUGCUAAUACCGCAUACGAUCUAAUCUCGGCAUCGAGGAUAGAUGAAAGGUGGCCUCUACAUGUAAGCUAUCACUGAAGGAGGGGAUUGCGUCUGAUUAGCUAGUUGGAGGGGUAACGGCCCACCAAGGCGAUGAUCAGUAGCCGGUCUGAGAGGAUGAACGGCCACAUUGGGACUGAGACACGGCCCAGAAUCCUACGGGAGGCAGCAGUGGGGAAUCUUCCGCAAUGGACGAAAGUCUGACGGAGCAACGCCGCGUGAGUGAUGACGGCCUUCGGGUUGGAAAGCUCUGUUAAUCGGGACGAAAGGCCUUCUUGCGAAUAGUGAGAAGGAUUGACGGUACCGGAAUAGAAAGCCACGGCUAACUACGUG